UACGGAGGGUGCAAGCGUUAUCCGGAUUUACUGGGUUUAAAGGGUGCGUAGGUGGGCGAGAAAGUCAGUGGUGAAAUCUCCGGGCUUAACCCGGAAACUGCCAUUGAUACUAUUUGUCUUGAAUACUUUGGAGGUAAGCGGAAUAUGUCAUGUAGCGGUGAAAUGCUUAGAUAUGACAUAGAACACCAAUUGCGAAGGCAGCUUACUACCCGAAUAUUGACACUGAGGCACGAAAGCGUGGGGAUCAAACAGG
rnacentral:rRNA from 1 species